GAUGAACGCUGGCGGUGUGCCUAAUACAUGCAAGUCGAGCGAACAGUUGAGGGGCUGGCGCCUCCGGCUUUAUAGGCGGACGGGAUAGUAACACGUGGAGAACACAACUGUAAGACAUGAAUAAUAAUGCGAAACCGGAGCUAAGGCCGGAGAAUUAUUGGCACCACAUGGUUCAGUAGGGUAAGACGGUAUUUGUGUCACGAAUAGAUCGAGCCGCGCCGCUUUAGCUGGUUGGUGAGGAAACGCCUUACCAAGGGAACGGUGAGUAGCCGAACUGAGCGGGUGAUUGGCCACCCUGGAACUGAGACCCGGUCCAGACUCCUACGGGAGGCAGCAGUAGGGAAUCCUCCGCGAUGGGCGAAUGCCUGACGGAGCAACGCCGCGUGAGUGAUGAAGGUCUUCGGAUCGUAAAACUCUGUUAUUAGGGAAGAACAAAUGUGUAAGUCACUAUGCACGUCUUGACGGUACCUAAUCAGAAAGCCACGGCUAACUACGUG
rnacentral:rRNA from 1 species